rnacentral:rRNA from 1 species
CUGCAGAAUUCGCCCUUGGAGGAAAGUAGGGGAUCGAAAGACCUUAUGCUUUUGGAGCGGCCGAUGUCUGAUUAGCUAGUUGGUAAGGUAAUGGCUUACCAAGGCGACGAUCAGUAGUUGGUCUGAGAGGACGACCAGCCACACUGGGACUGAGACACGGCCCAGACUCCUACGGGAGGCAGCAGUGGGGAAUUUUGGACAAUGGGCGCAAGCCUGAUCCAGCCAUGCCGCGUGAGUGAAGAAGGCCUUCGGGUUGUAAAGCUCUUUCAGCCGGGAAGAAAAGGUUGCGGCUAAUAAUCGCAAUUCAUGACGGUACCGAAAGAAGAAGCACCGGCUAACUACGUGCCAGCAGCCGCAGUAAUACGUAGGGUGCGAGCGUUAAUCGGAAUUACUGGGCGUAAAGGGUGCGCAGGCGGUUUUGUAAGUCAGAUGUGAAAUCCCCGGGCUUAACCUGGGAAUUGCGUUUGAAACUACAAAGCUAG